rnacentral:lncRNA from 1 species
AAUGAGCUGCUGCCAAGCAGCCUAACAAGCCUGCAUUGGAGGAUCUUGGUGACAGGUUUAUUACACCGAGGAUAGGAAAUUUCAGUGGACACGAGCUCUCCCGAGGAAAGGUCUCACAGUUGUCCACUGAAAACCAAGUGAGUGAAUGAAUUAAAAUGUGCCUGAAUUCCAUUCUUUAAGCCUCUGUCAGCAGAAGCCGGAGCAGCGCAGCGCAAGCGUCCAGUGGUAUUCAUCAGGUAUUUUAUGAAACGGAAUCUUCAAAGUUCUGUACAUUUACUUAAAUAUAAGCUACAGCAAGACAAAAUAAAUAAAAAUUUAAAAAACGGAAUGAAUAAAUAUAACUCAAAUAACAAGCGUCUGCUUUUGCCCGGGAAGACAGCCAAGUGGUAUGCAUUUUGGAUUAAUUUUUUACAAGGAAAACAAAUUAAUUGCUUAGUAAAUAUAGUUUGCUAGACAAAAAUCUCUCAAAA